rnacentral:rRNA from 1 species
AUUGAACGCUGGCGGCAGGCCUAACACAUGCAAGUCGAGCGGAUGAAGGGAGCUUGCUCCUGGAUUCAGCGGCGGACGGGUGAGUAAUGCCUAGGAAUCUGCCUGGUAGUGGGGGAUAACGUCCGGAAACGGGCGCUAAUACCGCAUACGUCCUGAGGGAGAAAGUGGGGGAUCUUCGGACCUCACGCUAUCAGAUGGGCCUAGGUCGGAUUAGCUAGUUGGUGGGGUAAAGGCCUACCAAGGCGACGAUCCGUAACUGGUCUGAGAGGAUGAUCAGUCACACUGGAACUGAGACACGGUCCAGGCUCCUACGGGAAGCAGCAGUGGGGAAUAUUGGACAAUGGGCGAAAGCCUGAUCCAGCCAUGCCGCGUGUGUGAAGAAGGUCUUCGGAUUGUAAAGCACUUUAAGUUGGGAGGAAGGGCAGUAAGUUAAUACCUUGCUGUUUUGACGUUACCAACAGAAUAAGCACCGGCUAACUUCGUG